rnacentral:lncRNA from 1 species
AUCCCCAUCCCAUCCCAUCCAAUCCAUCCUAUAUCCCCACCCCGUCCCAUCCCAUCCCAUCCAUCCCAUAUCCCCAUCCCAUCCCCAUCCCAUAUCCUCAUCCCCAUCUCCAUCCCCAUCUGAUCCCGAUCCCAGUCCUGAUCCCAUCCCAUUCCCACCCCAUUCCCAUUCCCACCCCAUUCCACUGGGAUGGAAAUGGGACUGAGGUGGAAACGGGAAAGGGGUGGAAAUGGGAGGGGGAUAGGAAUGGGAUUGGGGUGGGAGUGGGAAUGGGGAUGGCAUGGGAAUGGGAUUGGCGUGGGAAUGGGAUGGAAAUGGGAGUGGGAUGGGAAUUGGACUGGGAUGGGAAUGGGAUGGAAAUGGGAAUGGGAUGGAAAUGGGAAUGGGGAUGGGAUGGGAUGGGAAUGGGAGUGGGGUGGAAAUGGGGAUGGGGAUGGGAUGGGAGUGGGACUGGGGUGGAGAUGGGAAUGGGAUUGGAGUGAGAAUGGGAUGGAAAUGGGAGUGGGAUGGGAAUUGGACUUGGAUGGGAUUGGGAAUGGGAUUGGAGUUGGAAUGGGAUGGAAAUGGCAUUGGGAUGGGAAUGGGAAUGGGAUGGAGAUGGGACUGAGAUGGAAAUGGGGAUGGGAAUUGGACUGGGAUGGGAAUGGGACUGGGGUGGAGAUGGGAAUGGGAAUGGGAUGGAAAUGGGGAUGGGAUGGAAAUGGGACUGGAAUUGGAGUGGGAAUGGGAUGGAAAUGAGAAUGGGAUGGGAAUGGGGAUGGGAUGGGAAUGGGAGUGGGGUGAAAAUGGGGAUGGGAUGGAAAUGGGAGUGGGAAUGGGAUGGAAAUGGGGAUGGGAUGGAAAUGGGAGUGUGAUGGGAAUAGGGAUGGGAUGGAAAUGGGAAUGGCAUUGGAAUGGGGCCGGGAUGCUCCGUCACAGGGAUGCUCCGUCACAGGGCUGCUCGUCAGGCUGGGCUGUUAAUUGCAAGGCACACCGCUGUCUAUCGUUGCCCGCAUCUCCACUGGCUUUGGGUGCUGCUCUGCUGCAGCCCUCGGCCCCAUUCUGUGCACGGGGGCAGGAAUUGCACCGCGUCCCUAUCAGCACCCAGCGCUGCCAGCAGGGAGGGAGUGGAUCUGCGCACGGGGAUGGGUGCAGGGCGAGGGUGGGGGCGCAGGGGGAGGGUGGGGGUCUUUUGGGGGUACGGUGGGGGUUGUGGGGGCACCCCAGGCAUCCCAUGGCAUUAAGGGGCACAGCUGACCUCUUGGAGAUGGGGUGGGGGGCCCACGUGGGGCUGCGAUGGGUGCUGAUGUGGGGCUGUGAUGGGUGCCAGUGUGGGGCUGUGAUUGGUGCUGAUGUGGGGCUGCGAUGGGUGCUGAUGUGGAGCUUCAGUGGGUGC